GAAAAAUGGACCACUGAGGUGCUUUUGAUUCCUCAGAGAACAGCGCUGCGCACAUCUUGGUUGUUAGCACGACCCGUGCUGGUCCACUGUCGUCCCAAGUCAGAGGUCACUGACGCCAGGGACAGGCGACUGCUGUGUUGCUUGAAAUGCCCCUGGGCCCAAAGUGCCUUCAGAUGAUAAAAGGGCAGCGGAGCCGCAUCAAACCUGAGCCUGUGGCAGCCUCUGGACCCCGCUGCGGGAGCUGCGGGAGCUGCGGGAGGAGCGGCCCCCAGUUGACCACCAGCAACAUCCAGCCUCGGAGAAACCGGGGCACACGGCCUGGGCUCCCCAACGGAUCAACG
rnacentral:lncRNA from 1 species